rnacentral:lncRNA from 1 species
UCCGACACACAUGACCCAAGAAGGAUAUGCUCCUCGACCAGAACUCACAUUGGAGAACUAGGCAUCCAAGCCAUGUUCUCUCAGGAUCUGCAAUCCUGAUUUCAGAUGAUGGGCAUACUCUUCUGCAUUUCUGGAAUUCGCCGAGAUACCGUCAAUGAAGACAAUAACGGAGUGAUCCAGAAAUCGACUAAAACUCUGCUUAUGAGGUCCAUGAAUGUCGUAG